rnacentral:rRNA from 1 species
GGCGGCGUGCUUAACACAUGCAAGUCGAGCGGAAAGGCCCCUUCGGGGGUACUCGAGCGGCGAACGGGUGAGUAACACGUGAGCAACCUGCCCCUGACUCUGGGAUAAGCCCGGGAAACUGGGUCUAAUACCGGAUAUGACCACUCCAGGCAUCUGGUGGUGGUGGAAAGUUUUUCGGUUGGGGAUGGGCUCGCGGCCUAUCAGCUUGUUGGUGGGGUGAUGGCCUACCAAGGCGACGACGGGUAACCGGCCUGAGAGGGCGACCGGUCACACUGGGACUGAGACACGGCCCAGACUCCUACGGGAGGCAGCAGUGGGGAAUAUUGCGCAAUGGGCGGAAGCCUGACGCAGCGACCCCGCGUGGGGGAUGACGGCCUUCGGGUUGUAAACCUCUUUCAGCAGGGACGAAGCUAACGUGACGGUACCUGCAGAAGAAGCGCCGGCUAACUACGUGCCAGCAGCCGCGGUAAUACGUAGGGCGCAAGCGUUGUCCGGAAUUAUUGGGCGUAAAGAGCUCGUAGGCGGUUUGUUGCGUCCGUCGUGAAAGCCCACGGCUUAACCGUGGGUCUGCGGUGGAUACGGGCAGACUAGAGGCAGGUAGGGGAGAACGGAAUUCCCGGUGUAGCGGUGAAAUGCGCAGAUAUCGGGAGGAACACCGGUGGCGAAGGCGGUUCUCUGGGCCUGUACUGACGCUGAGGAGCGAAAGCGUGGGGAGCGAACAGGAUUAGAUACCCUGGUAGUCCACGCCGUAAACGUUGGGCGCUAGGUGUGGGGUCCUUCCACGGAUUCCGCGCCGCAGCUAACGCAUUAAGCGCCCCGCCUGGGGAGUACGGCCGC